GGCCUAAAUUUGAAGUAGAGUGGAUAAGAAGAAGGAUCAUCUGACCCUACUAAACUACUCUACUUCGAGUUUGUGCCC
rnacentral:pre_miRNA from 1 species